rnacentral:rRNA from 1 species
CUUAACACAUGCAAGUCGAGGGGCAGCAUGGUCUUAGCUUGCUAAGGCCGAUGGCGACCGGCGCACGGGUGAGUAACACGUAUCCAACCUGCCGUCUACUCUUGGACAGCCUUCUGAAAGGAAGAUUAAUACAAGAUGGCAUCAUGAGUCCGCAUGUUCACAUGAUUAAAGGUAUUCCGGUAGACGAUGGGGAUGCGUUCCAUUAGAUAGUAGGCGGGGUAACGGCCCACCUAGUCUUCGAUGGAUAGGGGUUCUGAGAGGAAGGUCCCCCACAUUGGAGCUGAGACACGGUCCAAACUCCUACGGGAGGCAGCAGUGAGGAAUAUUGGUCAAUGGGCGAGAGCCUGAACCAGCCAAGUAGCGUGAAGGAUGACUGCCCUAUGGGUUGUAAACUUCUUUUAUAAAGGAAUAAAGUCGGGUAUGGAUACCCGUUUGCAUGUACUUUAUGAAUAAGGAUCGGCUAACUCCGUGCCAGCAGCCGCGGUAAUACGGAGGAUCCGAGCGUUAUCCGGAUUUAUUGGGUUUAAAGGGAGCGUAGAUGGAUGUUUAAGUCAGUUGUGAAAGUUUGCGGCUCAACCGUAAAAUUGCAGUUGAUACUGGAUAUCUUGAGUGCAGUUGAGGCAGGCGGAAUUCGUGGUGUAGCGGUGAAAUGCUUAGAUAUCACGAAGAACUCCGAUUGCGAAGGCAGCCUGUUAAGCUGCAACUGACAUUGAGGCUCGAAAGUGUGGGUAUCAAACAGGAUUAGAUACCCUGGUAGUCCACACGGUAAACGAUGAAUACUCGCUGUUUGCGAUAUACUGCAAGCGGCCAAGCGAAAGCGUUAAGUAUUCCACCUGGGGAGUACGCCGGCAACGGUGAAACUCAAAGGAAUUGACGGGGGCCCGCACAAGCGGAGGAACAUGUGGUUUAAUUCGAUGAUACGCGAGGAACCUUACCCGGGCUUAAAUUGCAGAUGAAUUACGGUGAAAGCCGUAAGCCGCAAGGCAUCUGUGAAGGUGCUGCAUGGUUGUCGUCAGCUCGUGCCGUGAGGUGUCGGCUUAAGUGCCAUAACGAGCGCAACCCUUGUUGUCAGUUACUAACAGGUUCCGCUGAGGACUCUGACAAGACUGCCAUCGUAAGAUGUGAGGAAGGUGGGGAUGACGUCAAAUCAGCACGGCCCUUACGUCCGGGGCUACACACGUGUUACAAUGGGGGGUACAGAGGGCCGCUACCACGCGAGUGGAUGCCAAUCCCCAAAACCUCUCUCAGUUCGGACUGGAGUCUGCAACCCGACUCCACGAAGCUGGAUUCGCUAGUAAUCGCGCAUCAGCCACGGCGCGGUGAAUACGUUCCCGGGCCUUGUACACACCGCCCGUCAAGCCAUGGGAGCCGGGGGUACCUGAAGUGCGUAACCGCGAGGAGCGCCCUAGGGUAAAACUGGUGACUGGGGCUAAGUC